CAUUAUUGUUGUUACCACUACCGAUACAGAGACUCUAACUGUGACAUUAGUUUCCAAAUCAGAUAGUGAAUAACUACGUUUUCAAUGUUGUCUUAACACAGAUACAAGUUAACAGGAUAUGCUUCUGGUGUGUUUCUGGAUUCUAAGGGUAGAACCAGCAUAAAACUAGUCAGUCCAAGUAUUUCUAAAGAUCCCCAGACACAGUUCUCCUGGAUUUGGGAAGCCUGGAGAUAUUAGCAGAAUAACUAUGGCCCAAUUUAUCCCUCAACGCAAGCAUCUCACCCUCAAAAUGUUUGUAUGGGACCCAACCGGCAAACCUGGAGAUGGAUUAUUUCUUUCACCUUGGAUUGGCUCAUCUGCUCAACUUUUAAAAGCAUUUCCACUGCACAGUGAAAGAAAACCACAAAUUCCUUGUUUAAUAUCUGGAAUCAUGUGCUUUUAACAAGAGGAAAAGGUCAAGUCUGAAGCAACUGAUACAGAACUGCCAGAUUAGGUACGUAAAUGGAGGAGUUACAUCCAUUUGGGAGGGCUGCAGAAACGUGGAUUGGAUUUUAAUCACACUGAGAAAGUUUCUCUUGAGCAAAAGACAUGAUGGUUGUUCCCCAGAACCUUUCUGUCCUGUCCCUUGCUCUGCCAAGGGAAAUAGAAAAGACAUAAACAUUUAAGAACUUAAAAGGCUUCUGGAUAAAACUCAGCUUGGUGCAGCACAUUUUAGCUACCAUAGCUUUACUCCCAAGCUUCCACCUUUCCUAGGAACGUAGUAAAAACCUGAGCUAAAGAAACCGAACAAUAGAAGAACUGAAAUUCUUUAAACCUGAGUUCUUGAGGUUGUAGUUUUGGUACACUCCAUAAAGUCAAAGCCCUAAAAAGAUUUUUAAAAAACAAAACCCUUAUACCUGUGUCUCUUUCCCCAAACCUCUCUACAUUUACUUACCUUUGCAGACUUACACAUUCUCGUUUUCUUGUGAUUGCGUUUGGAUAGAAUGAAGACCUCGUCCACAGUUCUCAACUUAAAUUCUUUCUUCUACUUCUUAGCUAUGAAAGAAAAUUCAAAAAAUUCAAUGCUCUACUUUGUAACUCCCUGGACAUAGUGAGUCCAUUAUGUACAUCAUGAGGAGGGAGUGGAGAAAGUGGAAUUCUUAUGUAAAUUCGUACAACUUUGGAAAACGGCUUACCAGUACCUACUAAAGCUGAGCAUAUGCAAAACCAGUGACCCAGGCAUGUCAUGGGUACAUAACCUACAAAAAUGUAGACAUAGGCACUAAAAGACAUCUACAACAUGUUCACUGCAGCCCAGUUCAUAAUCAACCCAGAGUGGAAAAACCCAAGCAUCCACCAACUGGAGACUGCACAAUAAAACUGUAGUAUUUUCAUCAGUAGAAACAUGCCACAGCUUGAACACAUGCUGAAAACAAAAUGUCAAGUAAAAGAAGCCAGGUCCAAAAAAAAAAAAAGACACACUGUAUGAUUUUAUUUACAUUAAAUCUAAAAACAGGUAAAAUUAAUUCAUGCAAUGGAAAGUCAUGAGAGUAGCUACUGCAUCUGGGGAGGCGGGUGAUGGAGUGUCAGGGAAGGAGCACCAGGAUGGCUUAUGGUGCUAUUUUUAUGACUUGAUGUAGAGGGUAGGUAAUAGGUAGGUCCACUUUGUAAAAGUUCAUCUAGCUGUGCAUUUGUGACUUGCAUUCUUUUCUGCAUGUGUCAACUCCAGUAAAAAGAUUACUUGAAAAUCAAGUAUAACAUUAUUAUAUUUACAAAGCCCUUUCUAUGUAGCCAGAAGCAGGGUUGGUUUUCCAGGUGACUGAGAAUUCGUCAGGAGCUUAGUGAGUGGAGGGCAGGGGACAAGUGUGUUCUUUCUCUCUCGCUCUCUCUCUGCUGUUCUGUAAGGUAACAAGUUAGGCUUGGUGACAGUGUGACCUUAAAUAAGCCAUGCAUACUUUCUGAAUCCUUUUUUCUUAUUUGAUGAGUGAAGUGUUAGUUAAAAUGGUGUCUCCAGUCCUUUCCCAUCCUCACUGCUAUGAUUCAAGCCCCCUGCUUCUCUGUGAGGCUUCCUCUGACCUCUUGAUUUCACAGUCACCUUUCUCUCUUCCUCUCUCCUGUGUCCUCCCUCGCCACCCCCAUCUCUGUCCCCCCAGACUUGAGUUUGUUUUAUAUCUCUUCUGGUAUCUCCUCUGGUUUCCUGGCACCAUGUCUUGUGUAGAGCAAAUAAUAAUGCUUUAAAAAUUUAUCUGUGAAGGAAAAAGUUCAGUAAAGUGUGAAUUUUACAUUAUAGUUAGUGGUUAAAUGCCUUAAACACUUAAAAAGUAGAAUUUAUCUCAACCUGGGCAAAAGACAGACCAUGCCAAUUUCCAAAUGGAAUCCAAUAGCAAGAAUGCACGAAGAACAAGCAGGAGUGGUGAGGAUUUCCUCACUCUGUCCCUCAGAGGUGACGCGUCUCAUCUGUGAGAUGAAAGUGUCAUCACGUCACUGAUAUAAAGUGUAAGUACAGGGAACAUAAUCAUCUGGGAGAUUUUAAUUUGAGUUAAUAAAAGAUAAGAUGUUAACGCUAAGAGUCUUGGGGCUUGGCAAAGAAUAUUUAAAAGGAGGGUUGCUGGAUAAAGAAACUGUGGUACAUUUAUAUGUUGGAAGACUACUCAGCCAUUAAAAGGAAUGAAUUAACAGCGUUUGCAGUGACCUGGAUGAGA